rnacentral:rRNA from 1 species
GGGGAAUAUUGGGCAAUGGGCGAAAGCCUGACCCAGCGACGCCGCGUGGGUGAUGAAGGCCUUCGGGUUGUAAAGCCCUGUCAUGCGGAAAGAACGACCCUGAGACGCAUACUCUCAGGGAGUGACGGUACCGCAGGAGGAAGCACCGGCUAACUCCGUGCCAGCAGCCGCGGUAAUACGGAGGGUGCAAGCGUUGUUCGGAAUUAUUGGGCGUAAAGGGCGCGUAGGCGGUAAUGUAAGUCAGAUGUGAAAUACUCCGGCUCAACCAGAGAACAGCAUCUGAAACUGCAUAACUAGAGUACAGAAGAGGGAAACGGAAUUCCCGGUGUAGAGGUGAAAUUCGUAGAUAUCGGGAGGAACACCAGUGGCGAAGGCGGUUUCCUGGUCUGAUACUGACGCCGAGGCGCGAAAGCGUGGGGAGCAAACAG